rnacentral:rRNA from 1 species
GCAUGAAGUCGGAAUUGCUAGUAAUCGCGGAUCAGCAUGCCGCGGUGAAUACGUUCCCGGGCCUUGUACACACCGCCCGUCACACCAUGGGAGCCGAUAAUACCCGAAGUCAGUAGUCCAACCUCGUGAGGACGCUGCCGAAGGUAGGAUUGGCGACUGGGGUGAAGUCGUAACAAGGUAGC